rnacentral:rRNA from 1 species
UACGGAGGGAGCUAGCGUUGUUCGGAAUUACUGGGCGUAAAGCGCGCGUAGGCGGCUUUGUAAGUUAGAGGUGAAAGCCCGGAGCUCAACUCCGGAACUGCCUUUAAGACUGCAUCGCUUGAAUCCGGGAGAGGUGAGUGGAAUUCCGAGUGUAGAGGUGAAAUUCGUAGAUAUUCGGAAGAACACCAGUGGCGAAGGCGGCUCACUGGACCGGUAUUGACGCUGAGGUGCGAAAGCGUGGGGAGCAAACGGG